GACGAACGCUGGCGGCGUGCCUAAUACAUGCAAGUAGAACGCUGAAGGAGGAGCUUGCUUCUCUGGAUGAGUUGCGAACGGGUGAGUAACGCGUAGGUAACCUGCCUGGUAGCGGGGGAUAACUAUUGGAAACGAUAGCUAAUACCGCAUAACAGUAGAUAUCGCAUGAUAUCUACUUGAAAGGUGCAAUUGCAUCACUACCAGAUGGACCUGCGGUGUAUUAGCUAGUUGGUGAGGUAACGGCUCACUAAGGCGACGAUACAUAGCCGACCUGAGAGGGUGGUCGGCCACACUGGGACUGAGACACGGCCCAGACUCCUACGGGAGGCAGCAGUAGGGAAUCUUCGGCAAUGGACGGAAGUCUGACCGAGGAACGCCGCGUGAGUGAAGAAGGGUUUCGGAUCGUAAAGCUCUGUUGGAAGAGAAGGACGAGUGUGAGAGUGGAAAGUUCACACUGUGACGGUAUCUUACCAGAAAGGGACGGCUAACUACGUG
rnacentral:rRNA from 1 species